AUGGACUUGGUGCCAAGCUGCGUUUUCCUCCUGAUCAUUCUUCAAGGUGUCCAGUGUGAGGUGCAGCUGGUGGAGUCUGGGGGAGGCUUGGUGCCGCCUGGGGGGUCUCUGAGACUCUCCUGUGCAGCCUCUGGAUUCACCUUCAGUAGCAACUGGAUGCACUGGGUCCGCCAGGCUCCAGGGAAGGGGCUGGAGUGGCUUGGUGAAAUCAGUCCUGAUGGAAGUACCACAAACUAUGCCAACUCUGUGAAGGGCCGAUUCACCAUCUCCAGGGACAACGCCAAGAACACGGUGUAUCUGCAAAUGAACAGCCUGAAAGCCACGGACACGGCCAUGUAUUACUGUGCCAGACACACAGUGAGGGGAAUGGACAUCUCCUACCUGAUAGAGGAGGAGGACUCCAUGUCGCUCCGUGAGUCGAGCCCCUGA